rnacentral:rRNA from 1 species
AACGUAGGACACAAGCGUUAUCCGGAGUUACUGGGCGUAAAGGGCGUUUAGGCGGGUGAUUAAGUUCGCUAUGAAAGCGCCGGGCUAAACUCGGCGAGGCUGGCGGAUACUGGUCAUCUGGAGUGAGUCAGAGGAAGGUAGAAUUCCGCGUGUAGUGGUGAAAUGCGUAGAGAUCGGGAGGAACAUCAGUUGCGAAGGCGGCUCUCUGGACCAGCACUGACACUGAGGCACGAAAGCGUGGGGAGCAAACAGG